CUACUGAAAAAGACGAACCGCCAAGCGAUUUAGCGUUCCGAGGAUUUUCAUCCUCCUCCUAACAAGUUAGCCCGCAUUCAUCUUAGAUUGCAUCAUCACUUACUACAGGCGAGAUUGUAGUCAAGGGCUAACUUGUAAAGAAUACUACCCGACAUCGUACCGGAAACAUAAAUUGGCGGCAGGGUGUAACAAGCUACGGAUGUAGCCUCCCACCAGCCAGACCAGGACUAUUUAAGAAAACCUCAAUCGGCCCAGCCGGGGAUCAAACCCAGGACCUCCGUCUUGUAAAUCCACCGGGUAACCACUGCACCACGGCCGUCAAAAUGUAGCCAAGUUGAAAUUAAAUUAAAUGAAAUUUGAAACGAAACGGGAUGAAAUUCGGUUAAAUUAAAUUAAAUCGAUAUGAUCACAUGAUCCACCGAUCAAUUGGGUAAUCAUUCCCAUAUUUUUUUUUAGUUUUUGAAGCGUUAGUGUUUGUAGAAUGAUAAUUGAUGCGUAACUUGGCUACAUGCCAUGUAGCCAACUUGCAUUCUUUAACGAUGUUUUGUUUAACUCGCAAGUGCUAGUUUCCAAUUCAUCUAUAUCUUUCUCAUUUUAUUCGAUCUCUAACAAUAGAGAGAGAUAGAGGUUAAUUCGAAACUCUCAUUUUCGAGUCUUACAAAACAUUUAUAGAAUAGUACCUACUGUACUAUACUGAUAAUGAUGAUUUCAGAUGCAGUAAAAAUUAACGUAUCUCCUGAAGUGUUUAGUUCAGUAGUCCAUAGACCGGGUAAAGCUCUGACCGACGUGUUCGUAGCAGCGAGGGUGUUCCAGCCCGCUGUCAUAUACUUGAAGAACAUCGAAAGAGUUUUCACUAAAAAAGUAUUAUAUUAUGUAUUUUUUAUGAGAUAUACCCUUUGACUAUUUAGACUAUGGACCUGUUUCGCACAGUUUGAAGAGCUGGAACAUCAAGCGGGUUGCAGGGAGCCGUUCGAUGCUGGCGGCUCGAAACUUGUUUUUGGAAGUGAGGCCUAUGACCAGCAGUGGUCGUCCAUCGGCAGAUAAUGAUGAUGAUAUCCCAGUAGUUAUACUUUUAGCUUCGUGGCAUCCCAGCACUUCAGAACAUGAUUUCAGCACAUGAGAACAUCCUAUCGGAGGGUAGAAUAUACUGAUGCAAGCAAUAGUAACUACUAUAACCUAUAACUGAAAUGAUUUCCUCGUAUAUACUUGCAUUGACAAAGUGAAAGUCAGUUCUACAACCCUAUUUGAAGAGCUAAUUUGACUAUUUAGACUAUGGACCUGUUUCGCACCCAAAUUCACCAACAAAAAUGUCUGUCGUUUUUUGAGGGGGACGAGGUAAACUUACACAUUGAAAAUAUUUAUGUAUUCUGUGUCCAUACACUACACACAACUAUAAAUUAGACUCGCUAUACACGCACGCGUAUUUUUUACACAGCUAACAAACACAUCGCUAAGAUUAUCCACAGAUUAAAUAUAUAGAAUAUUCGAUUACUUGACCGAUUUUUUGCUUUUGUUGAAUUUGAUAAUAUUAUGGUAGAAAUACUUACAAAUGAAACGUUACUCCAUCUUUUACUAAACUACAAGUUUUUGGCCGUUUUUUGUGUCAUUCAACUACACAAACCGGCAUUUUUAGGGAGCUCUUUACACUACGAAAACGAUUACAACAAUAAAACAUCUAUUAUCAGAUUUAUAAACGCGUUAGAUCAUUGAUUUUUGAUCUUUGCCAGAGGGGUAACGAUUAGCGAGGCAGGUCCUGUUAUUAAUGGUCGAAGGAUAUACCAUAGGUACAUAAUAUCAUGUUGCCUCAUUCCCGUGGGGAGUUAAGUUUGAAGUGUCUUUAUGUGUGGCAUUGUAGUUUCUAACCUGAGAUUAGAGAACCGUUUAAUAAUCUCGGCUUUUUCCUAAAUUGAUGAUUAUGAUGAAUUUUUUUAGUUUAAAUUAUUACUUGGUUUAGUGUGACAGAGAAAAAAUAAACGUGACAAAUUAAAAUUGGUAAUUGUAUUUAAAUAUACACAGACGAUCUGUAUCAGCUACUGUUUUAUUCAUUAAAUAUUCAUUGAAUUAAUUAUAAAUUUUUCCAUUUAUAAAAAUCUUUGUUUUAUUAUUUUAACCGUUUUAGGUAGCUGAAAGCAAUCAUCUGAAAGCAAAAUCUUUAAAAAAGCCUCUUACUAAACUCCUAAAACAAAUAUCGCCUAAUGAUAAAAUUAUAUUUAUUGGAUAAGAAGCAUGCCGAUCAACUACCCCGUGUCGCCACUGGCCCAAGUGUUACAGGGAUACGGAUUCGGGAUGCUGAUGGAACUUUAUGAUAGAGUCAUGAGUGCUGACAGGAUUCUAAAGUAUCUGCCUUACAUUAUAAUUUUACUCUCGUUUAUCUUCAUAAAAUUCAUCUAUUAAACGUGACACCAUUAUCGCCGUUUGAGUUCCUUGAGCCGUUGAUGGAGGCGGAAAUCGAAUCUGUGACCAAAGAGGAAUAUCAAGAGUACACGGACUUCUUCAUCAAAUACUCACCCCUAAGGAAGGCGAGGGACGAAUAUGCUAUAAUCAAUACAUACAGGGCUGCCGUCUACGAUACAAUAGUCGCUAAGGAGCAGGAAAAAAAGGAAUGACAUAAUAUAUAAGCAAAAAAUAAAUUAAAA